GGCCAUACUACCACCAGGGUCAUUAAACUACCCCUAGAAAUGCCCAAACCGCCUACGAAAGCCUUGUCAAAUCCACUUUCAUGGGUCUUAACAUACUUGCCUUUCUCUUAAUCGGGUUUUAAUGCAUGUUCCCUUAGGUUCAUGGUACAGAAGAAUGGCCACACCACCACCAGGGUCAUUAAACUACCCCUAGAAAUGCCCAAACCACCUACGAAAGCCUUGUCAAAUAUAUAUGUGUGCUUGGGCGCCGGGGAGGAACACAGCAGACCCAUUUUGUCAUCAAUCUUAACCUCUUGUAGCAGGAACUCGGAGACGCUUGCCACAUUAAUAGAACGAUGGCAAAUUCUCUUCCUUCAACUUAAUAUCAACUAGAGUAGAAAUGCAACGUUUUGGAGCCUUCUGAUUAAUGUAAAAUCACCUAGGUUUAAGGACAGACCACCAAGUCUGGACCAUGGGGUCUGUGUGGUCUGAUUUUCUAUGUAAUUCUCUCUCUCUCUCUC